UUUUUUUUUUUUUUUUCUAUUUUUGCUUUGCUUUGAGAAGAAAUAUAAUAUGUUGAUUAAGAGAAGGAACUCUGAAGCCAGAUUUCAUGGGUUUGGAUUUUGGCUUUUCCUCUAUCUAGCAGUUUGACUUUGGGUAAGUUACUUAGCUUACCUGUCUCAUGGGGUUAUUGCAGUGAUUAAGAGUUAAUAAAAAGCACUCAGGACAGUAUCAGCCAUAGAAAGUACUACAAAAGUGUUUGAUUUUACUAUUUAAAAUAUUUAUCAAUACCUGAUACAGUAUGCAUUUAUUUGUUUAUUAUCUAUUGUCCACCCAAAUGUAAGCUCCCUAAAGGCAGAGAUUUCAUUUUAUUCAUAGCUGAAUCCCUACUCUCUAGAAAGGCACUAUCUCAUAGAACUUUCGGUGAUGAUGGGAUGUUCUAUAGCUGUACUACAAUACAGUAGCACUAACCACAUGUAGAUAUUGAGCAUUUCAAAUGUGGCUAGUGCUACUGAGGGACUGAUUGUUACAUUUUAUUUAAUUUUUAAUUAAUUAAAAUUUAAGUAGUUAUAUGUGACUAGUGACCAUGAGAUUGGACAGCACAGACAUUGCCUGGAACAUUAUAAUAGGUACUCAACGAAUUUUUGUUAAACAAGUGAAUAACUACCAACCAUUUAGAGAAAGCUAGAUAUUUUGGCAGGUAGAAUGCUAAGCACUUUAUAUACAUUAUGUCAUGCAAACCUCUCAACAAACCUAUGAGGGAAAUAUUACUGUUCCCAAUACAUAGAUGAGAACAUUGAGGCACAGAGGAGUUAAUUUGUCAGAGCCAGUAAAUAGAUUAGAUUCCAGAACUGAGCCAAUGACAUGAAUUGAAUUAAUGACAUGAAUUGAAUUCGACUCAGGUUGGUUACAAUUCUCCAAUUUCGGAGUAUCAGACUCCCAGUUUUUCUCUCAGGAAAUGAAACUACCUUCCCUGUGCUAUAUCCAGCUCUCAUACUACCCAGCCUCACAUAUAGACUUUCCGACAUUCCUAAUGACAAAUUCCUUGAGUGCAGGAUCCACACCUCAUUCUUACUUCAUUGUCAUCUAUAGUGUUGGCACUAUGUCAGAACCAUUCUUCAGUAAAUGCUGGCUGAAAGAGUAGAAGACGAAUGGAUGCUCAGGUGGAUGUUUGUAAGGUUCUAAAGGAAGUUAAUAUCUAGUAUCAAUUUUACUCACACAAGAAGAAAUCAUAUGAGCAUUUACUGGCUUUAAUGCUUUAUCUUGUGACCACUGAACAGACCUUUUAGAACAAGUGUUGGCAAAUGAGGCAGUAAAUAUUUUAGGCUUUGUGGGUCAUAAGGUCUCUGUCACAACUGUCCAGCUCUGCUGUUCUUGCAUGGUAGCAGCCAUAGACAAUAUGUAAAUGAUGACCAUGUUGCAAUAAAACUUUGUUUAUGAUCACCAAAUUUUGAAUUCAUAUAAUUUUCAUAUCUCUGAAAUAUUCUUCCAUUUUUAACCCUGAAAUGUCACAAAAAAACAUUCUUAGCUUGUGGGCUGUACAAGAACAGGCAGCAAGCUGCAGUUGCUAACCUGUGGCCUAGACAGGCAAACCUAAGAUUAGAAGCACUGGGUAAGGCCGUACAGCUGUGUGGUGAAAACCCAUUCAGAAGGGAAAGUCCAGGGUGGAAUGCAGGAAGCUGUUCGUUUUCUUUUGUCCUCCACAUUUUUCCUCCCCCGGAUCAUUCUAUAUCUUUUUCCUGUUUGCUUUGCCGGGAUUGUUCUCAAUGUGCAUACCUUCCCAUACCUCAGGCGUUUUGUCUCUCGUGGCCAUUUGUGUUUAAGUUGAGGGUUUUGAGAAGACUAAAAAAAUUCAAGACCCAAAGUAAUAGCUUUCUCACGCAUUGAGAGAUGUCGUUCCAUUGGUGUGAAUAAGUCUCUGUGUACCC
ensembl:lncRNA